rnacentral:tRNA from 1 species
CGGGCUGUAGCGCAGGUGGGAGCGCGCCGCGUUCGGGACGCGGAGGUCGCCGGUUCGAGCCCGGCCAGCCCGACCA